UAGCCUACAGCUACCACCCUGAAGGCAUCUGAUCUCAUAUGAUCUUGAAAGCUAAGCAGGGUCGAGACUGGUUAGUACUUGGAUGGGAGAAAGGGCUAAAGAAUUUCUAGUUAUUUAGCCUGG
rnacentral:rRNA from 1 species